GUCAUUAGGGUCCAUUAGGGUCCAUUAGGGCCAUAUAGGGUCCAUUUAGGGUCCUUUUGGGGCCAUUAGGGUCCACUAGGGUCCAUUUAGGGUCCUUUUGGGGUCAUUAGGGUCCAUUAGGGUCCAUUAGGGUCCAUUUGGGGUCCUUUUGGGGUCAUUAGGGUCCAUUAGGGUCCAUUAGGGCCAUAUAGGGUCCACUUAGGGUCCUUUUGGGGUCAUUAGGGUCCAUUAGGGCCUUAUAGGGCCGUACCAUCAGGUUCUCCAUGUCCCGCACCUCCUGGUUGACCCGAUUUAGGAUUUCCCUGCAGCACUCGGCGGCCUGCUGGACUCGGGAACGCUCCUCCGCCUCCUCUGGGAUUUGGGGGAUUUAUGGGAUUUGGGGCAUUUGGGGCGGUGGGGGGGGAUUGGGGGCAUUUGGGGGAUUGGGGGGAUUUGGGGGAUUUGGGGGGAUUGGGGGAUUGGGGGCAAUGGGGUCACAUUGGGGUCAAUAGGGACAAUGGGGUCACAUUGGGAUCAGUGGGGUCACAUUGGGAUCAGUGGGGGUCAAUGGGGUCACAUUGGGGUCACAUUGGGAUCAAUGGGGGCAAUGGGGUCACAUUGGGAUCACAUUUGGGGGAUUUG
rnacentral:lncRNA from 1 species